rnacentral:rRNA from 1 species
AUGAACGCUGGCGGCGUGCCUAAUACAUGCACGUCGAGCGAACGGACGAGAAGCUUGCUUCUCUGAUGUUAGCGGCGGACGGGUGAGUAACACGUGGAUAACCUACCUAUAAGACUGGGAUAACUUCGGGAAACCGGAGCUAAUACCGGAUGAUAUUUUGAACCGCAUGGUUCAAAAGUGAAAGACGGUCUUGCUGUCACUUAUAGAUGGAUCCGCGCUGCAUUAGCUAGUUGGUAAGGUAACGGCUUACCAAGGCAACGAUGCAUAGCCGACCUGAGAGGGUGAUCGGCCACACUGGAACUGAGACACGGUCCAGACUCCUACGGGAGGCAGCAGUAGGGAAUCUUCCGCAAUGGGCGAAAGCCUGACGGAGCAACGCCGCGUGAGUGAUGAAGGUCUUCGGAUCGUAAAACUCUGUUAUUAGGGAAGAACAUAUGUGUAAGUAACUGUGCACAUCUUGACGGUACCUAAUCAGAAAUCCACGGCUAACUACGUG